UACGAAGGGGGCUAGCGUUGCUCGGAAUCACUGGGCGUAAAGCGCACGUAGGCGGGUUGCUAAGUCAGGGGUGAAAUCCUGGAGCUCAACUCCAGAACUGCCCUUGAUACUGGCGGCCUUGAGUCCGGGAGAGGUGAGUGGAACUGCGAGUGUAGAGGUGAAAUUCGUAGAUAUUCGCAAGAACACCAGUGGCGAAGGCGGCUCACUGGUCCAUUACUGACGCUGAGGUGCGAAAGCGUGGGGAGCGAACAGG
rnacentral:rRNA from 1 species